GGAGUUGUGGCUCAGUGGUAGAGCACUCACCUAGCAUGUGCAAAGCCCUGGGUUCAAUCCUCAGCACCA
rnacentral:tRNA from 1 species